AUUGAACGCUGGCGGCAUGCCUUACACAUGCAAGUCGAACGGCAGCACGGGAGCUUGCUCCUGGUGGCGAGUGGCGAACGGGUGAGUAAUACAUCGGAACGCACCCUGAAGUGGGGGGAUAACGUAGCGAAAGUUACGCUAAUACCGCAUAUUCUGUGAGCAGGAAAGAGGGGGAUCGCAAGACCUCUUGCUUUAGGAGCGGCCGAUGUCGGAUUAGCUAGUUGGUGAGGUAAAAGGCUCACCAAAGGCGACGAUCCGUAGCGGGUCUGAGAGGAUGAUCCGCCACACUGGGACUGAGACACGGCCCAGACUCCUACGGGAGGCAGCA
rnacentral:rRNA from 1 species